UGUGGGUCCCGAAUAUACAUGGCACAACCCAAGAGGGUUGUUAGAAUCACGAAUGAGAAAUGCUAGGUUCCUGAAACAUUAUUCAUACGACUAAUAGUUGGGAAAAUCUGAUUUUUGACUAUUAAUUGACACUAUAACUGCAUUUUUUUAAGGAAAUGUGUAAGUUAGGGUGUUUAUUGUAGAUCCUGUGAAAGAAAUUAGAAUGAUUGUGAUAUGGUGGCAGCCAACCUAGCUACUUGCUUAAAAUUUCUGCUUUGAUAUGAGGUAUUUGACAUGAUAAGUUAAGUUUCUGGUGGUAAAUGAGUCAACUAGUGUUUAUAAUAUAGAUUUUGAUUGAGAGACCUUGAUUUUCUUAGGCUGGCAGCAGCCAUUUUAGUGUAAUUCUUGAACUAAAUCUGUGAUAUGAAGUAAAUGAAGUUGUAAAUUGAGUUCUUGAUUGGAAAUGGGUUAAUCAUCGUAUAAUGUGUAAGUUUAACCAAACACUUAAGGUUUCUUUGAUAAAAUGGCAGCAGCUAUCUUCAAUUAUUUCCAUUGAUUUUUGUUUGACAUGGUACAAUUAAGGUUGUAAAUCUAAUUCUUGCGUGGAACUAGUUAGUUGGUGUGAUCCAUGAUUUUAAGAUAGAAAAACGCUAAUUCUUUUUUGGCGAAUUGACAGCAAUUACCUUGAUUUUUUCUGUGUUGUUUUACAAGGAUAAAUAUAUGUAAA
rnacentral:lncRNA from 1 species